GACGAACCGUACGAACGUUAUUCGGAAUUACUGGGCUUAAAGGGCUUGUAGGCGGCCUUGUAAGUCAGGUGUGAAAUCCCUCGGCUCAACCGAGGAAUGGCGCUUGAUACUGCAAGGCUUGAGGGAGACAGGGGUAAGCGGAACUGAUGGUGGAGCGGUGAAAUGCGUUGAUAUCAUCAGGAACACCGGUGGCGAAAGCGGCUUACUGGGUCUCUUCUGACGCUGAGGAGCGAAAGCGUGGGGAGCAAACAGG
rnacentral:rRNA from 1 species